AGAGACAGAGGUGGUGGGAGCAGUGGGCUCUGCCUGUCCCCACCCCCACCUGGGGCCUCAUACCAUCCCACUAUCAUGGGUAGUGCCUACCACUGGGAGGCCCGGCGCCGGCAGAUGGCUUUGGACCGAAGGAGAUGGCUGAUGGCCCAGCAGCAGCAGGAGCUGCAGCAGAAAGAACAGGAACUGAAGAAUCACCAGGAGGAAGAACAACAAUCGGAGGAAAAACUCCAGCCACAUAAGAAGUUAAAUGUGCCGCAACCACCAGUGGCGAAAUUGUGGACAUCACAGGAGCAACCACAGCCAUCACAGCAGCAGCCAUCAGUGCAGCCACCAUCACAGCCACCACCACAGCCAUCAACAUUGCCACAGGCACAGGUGUGGCCAGGGCCACAGCCACCACAACCACAGCCACCACCUCAGCCAACACAACCAAGUGCUCAAGCCCGUUGUACUCAGCACACCUCCAAAUGCAAUCUCCAGGAUUCCCAAAGGCCAGGUCACCAGCCUACUUCAGCGGGGAUCUACUAAGCUGGAGGGCAAUCUCUGUAUCAACAACAGAUUCCAGGGUGGGCAGAAAAUCCUUACAGACUCUGGACUGGAGCCUGGGAGUGGGAGGUGGUCUCAUGAACCCAUGCCAAUCUAGCCCCAUCAGAAACACUGGGUAUUCACAACUCAAGUCUACCAAUUACAUACAGCAGUGGUGAUCCAGAGAUUGAACCCAGGACCCCAUGGCCAUCCCCAAAAUGCAGAUGAGCAACCACAUCUUCUCAGCAUCCAGCAAUAUCUCCACUCCAAAAGCCACCCACUCUAGAAGAGGAGGCUGCCAGGAAUAAAAUGUAAUUUUUUUCCUGGGAAGAAUCACGGGACCGGACAGCUUUAUGAGACAGGGAUGAGAGGAAGAGGGCAGGAGGACUCACGAAGGGGAUGGAGAGGGUGGAAAGAGAGUGGAAGGCAAGUUUAUGCUUCUCUAGGCAAAGCCAAUGGGAGAACUGGGUCUUGGGUCCCCCCCAAGUAUGCAACUCCUACUACUAUCACUACCUGCCCUCAUUCAGCAGUGAUAAGUCUGUGGGGGGCUUCAGUUUAUGACUGUCACUGGAGCCAUCACCC
rnacentral:lncRNA from 1 species